rnacentral:rRNA from 1 species
CCCUUAGAUGUUCGGGGCCGCACGCGCGCUACACUGAGUGUCUGAGAUACGAGUCUGCCUGGUCCGGCAAGGUCUAGGUAAUCGCUAAAAGACACAUCAUGCUUGGGAUAGAUUAUUGCAAAUAUUAAUCUUGAACGAGGAAUUCCUAGUAAGCGCAAGUCAACAGCUUGCGUUGAUUACGUCCCUGCCCUUUGUACACACCGCCCGUCGCUACUACUGAUUGGAUGUUUAAGCGAGGUUCUCGAACUGCUACCGACUUAGCUUCGGUGAGGUCGCAGUGUGGGAAGUGAACCUAGCUUUGGUGUCUAGAGGAAGUAAAAGUCGUAACA